UACGGGGGGGGCAAGCGUUGUUCGGAAUUCCUGGGCGUAAAGGGCUCGUAGGCGGCCAACUAAGUCGGAUGUGAAAUCCCCAGGCUCAACUUGGGAACUGCAUCCGAUACUGGAUGGCUUGAAUCCGGGAGAGGGAUGCAGAAUUCCAGGUGUAGCGGUGAAAUGCGUAGAUAUCUGGAGGAAUACCGGUGGCGAAGGCGGCAUCCUGGACCGGCAUUGACGCUGAUGAGCGAAAGCUAGGGGAGCAAACGGG
rnacentral:rRNA from 1 species